UUUUCACAAUUGAUCUUCUUCAUAUUUGUCCUAAGUUCACAAUGGUGUAAGGAGGUAUGGUCGGAUUCGCUGGCCAUUUGAUGACAGCCUACUUAUUUGUUACCCAGUGUGGUAGACAAAUCCUAUGGUCUUUUUUAUAUAUUUUUUACCGAGGGCGGUAAUUCAAUAGGCACCGAAGUAAGGAGGACAGGGUGGACUCGCAGACCAUUCGAUGGUAGCCUCUUCGGCAUGAGUGUCCUUAUGGUUUUUUUAUACCCUACGUGGUAGACAAAGUCGAUGGUCUUUUUAAAUUUGUUAUACCCCGCAUGGUAAACAAAAGGCACUGAAGUAAGGAGGUAUGGUCGGACUUGCUGGCUAUUCGAUGGCAGCCUUAUUGUCAGGAGUAUCCUUAUGAAUUUGUGACCCCGCGUGGUAGACAAAUGUCCUUAUAUAUUGGUCCUUAUAUACUUGUUUCACCCUGAGUGGUAAACCAAAUCCCGAUGGUGCAAGGAGGAUCAGCCGAAUUCACCUUACACAUGAUCGAUCUCACACUUCGGUAACAAUGAGUAUACAUUACUUUAUUUUGUUCAAGAGUUGAGUUGAGUUCAUUCAAUUCUGUCCAUUCAAUUCAGUUCAUUAGAUUCAAUUCACUUUAUUUCAUAACUUAACUGUUAUAUGCCUUAGCUGAUUCACAAUCUAAGUUAAGUUCAUACAGAUUAAUUGAUGCUGAAUUCUUGCCAAGAAACGAAUCAAAACAGAAGUCAUAAUCAAGAAAGUUGAAGAUUCAUUGACAAGAUAAGACAUUCAUUCAU
rnacentral:lncRNA from 1 species